CACCCGGUAGCUCAGUGGUUAGAACGCUGGCUUCUCAAGCCAAAGGGCCGGGGUUCGAUUCCCCGGCCGGGUGA
rnacentral:tRNA from 1 species